AUUGAACGCUGGCGGCAGGCCUAAUACAUGCAAGUCGAACGAGUGGCGGACGGGUGAGUAAUGUCUGGACACCUGCCCGAUCGAGGGGGAUAAGUACUGGAAACCGUAGCUACUACUGCAUACGGUCCGUUCUGCCCAGAUGGGAUGAGCUAGUUGGUGGGGUAACGGCGGACCUAGGCGACGAUCCCUAGCCGGUCUGAGAGGCUGCCCAGCCACACUGGGACUGAGACACGGUCCAGACUCCUACGGGAGGCAGCAGUGGGGAAUCUUGCGCAAUGGACGCAAGUCUGAACCAGCCAUGCCGCGUGUAUGAAGAAGGCUUUCGGGUUGUAAAGUUCUUUCAGCAGGGAAGCGUUACUCACCGAAGAAGCACCGGCUAACUCCGUGCCAGCCGCCGCGGUAAUAC
rnacentral:rRNA from 1 species